rnacentral:rRNA from 1 species
AGGAUUAACGCUGGCGGCGUGCCUAACACAUGCAAGUCGAACGAGGUAGCAAUACCUAGUGGCAGACGGGUGAGUAGCGCGUGGUCAACCUACCGUUGAGUGGGGGAUAACUAGCCGAAAGGUUAGCUAAUACCGCAUACGUCUCCGAGGGGCAUCCCUUGGCGAUAAAAGGAGCAAUCCGCUCGAUGACGGGACCGCGUCCCAUUAGCUAGUUGGUGGGGUAACGGCCUACCAAGGCAUCGAUGGGUAGCUGGUUUGAGAGAGCGACCAGCCACACUGGGACUGAGAUACGGCCCAGACUCCUACGGGAGGCAGCAGUGAGGAAUUUUCCGCAAUGGGCGAAAGCCUGACGGAGCGACGCCGCGUGUGGGAAGAAGGCCUUCGGGUCGUAAACCACUGUCGAAGGGGAAGAUAAUGACGGUACCCUUGGAGGAAGCCCCGGCUAACUACGCGCCAGCAGCCGC